CCAGACUCCUACGGGAGGCAGCAGUGGGGAAUAUUGCACAAUGGGGGGAACCCUGAUGCAGCGACGCCGCGUGAGUGAAGAAGUAUUUCGGUAUGUAAAGCCCUAUCAGCAGGGAAGGAAAUGACGGUACCUGACUAAGAAGCCCCGGCUAACUACGUGCCAGCAGCCGCGGUAAUACGUAGGGGGCAAGCGUUAUCCGGAUUUACUGGGUGUAAAGGGAGCGUAGGCGGCGCGUUAAGUCUGAUGUGAAAACCCGAGGCUCAACCACGGGAGUGCAUUGGAAACUGGCGGGCUGGAGUGCCGGAGAGGGAAGCGGAAUUCCUGGUGUAGCGGUGAAAUGCGUAGAUAUUAGGAGGAACACCAGUGGCGAAGGCGGCGUACUGGACGGCAACUGACGCUGAGGCUCGAAAGCGUGGGGAGCAAACAGGAUUAGAUACCCCGGUACAA
rnacentral:rRNA from 1 species